rnacentral:snoRNA from 1 species
AACUAAAUGAUGACAGCAUUAAUUUAAUUGAUAUUAUUGUGAUAUUAUAAUAUUUAUUGAGCUUUUUAACACUGACGUUC